AUUGAACGCUGGCGGCAGGCCUAACACAUGCAAGUCGAACGGUAACAGGAAACGGCUUGCUGUUUCACUGACGAGUGGCGGACGGGUGAGACAUGUCUGUGAAACUGCCUGAUGGAGGGGGAUAACUACUGGAAACGGUGGCUAUUACCGCAUAACGUCUCAAGCCCAUAGAGCGAGACCUUCGGACCUCUUGCCUUCCAAUGUUCCCUGAUGGGAUUGGCUAGUAGGUGGGGUAACGGCUAACCUAGUCCACGAUCCCUAGCUGGUCUGAGAGGUUGACCGGCCACACUGGAACUGGGACACGGUCCAGACUCCUCGGGGAGGAAGCAGAGGGGAAUAUUGCACAAUGGGCGCAAGCCUGCGGCAGACAGGCCGCGUGUAUGAAGAAGGCCUUCGGGUUGUAAAGUACUUUAAGAGGGGAGGAAGUAAGUAAAGUUAAUACCUUUACUCAUGGACGUUACUAGCAAGAGAAGCACGGGCUACCUCCGU
rnacentral:rRNA from 1 species